AGAGUUUGAUCAUGGCUCAGGAUGAACGCUAGCGGCAGGCCUAACACAUGCAAGUCGAGGGGUAUUACGCUUUCGGGCGUAAGAGACCGGCGCACGGGUGCGUAACGCGUAUGCAAUCUACCUUUUACAGGAGUAUAGCCCGGAGAAAUCCGGAUUAAUCCUCCAUAGUAUUUUAAAUUGGCAUCAAUUUUAAAAUUAAAGCUUUAGUGGUAAAAGAUGAGCAUGCGUCUUAUUAGCUGGUUGGUAUGGUAACGGCAUACCAAGGCAACGAUAAGUAGGGGUCCUGAGAGGGAGAUCCCCCACACUGGUACUGAGACACGGACCAGACUCCUACGGGAGGCAGCAGUGAGGAAUAUUGGACAAUGGGCGAGAGCCUGAUCCAGCCAUGCCGCGUGCAGGAAGACAGCCCUACGGGUUGUAAACUGCUUUUGCAGAGGAAGAAUAAGGGGUACGUGUACUUCGAUGACGGUACUCUGCGAAUAAGCAUCGGCUAACUCCGUGCCAGCAGCCGCGGUAAUACGGAGGAUGCAAGCGUUAUCCGGAAUCAUUGGGUUUAAAGGGUCCGUAGGCGGAAUGGUAAGUCAGUGGUGAAAGUCUGCAGCUCAACUGUAGAAUUGCCAUUGAUACUGCCCUUCUUGAAUUACUAUGAAGUAAUUAGAAUGUGUAGUGUAGCGGUGAAAUGCAUAGAUAUUACACAGAAUACCGAUUGCGAAGGCAGAUUACUAAUAGUGAAUUGACGCUGAUGGACGAAAGCGUGGGGAGCGAACAGGAUUAGAUACCCUGGUAGUCCACGCCGUAAA
rnacentral:rRNA from 1 species